rnacentral:rRNA from 1 species
UUCCAGACUCCUACGGGAGGCAGCGGGGGGGAAUAUUGGACAAUGGGGGGAACCCUGAUCCAGCGACGCCGCGUGAGUGAAGAAGUAUUUCGGUAUGUAAAGCUCUAUCAGCAGGGAAGAAAGAAAUGACGGUACCUGACUAAGAAGCCCCGGCUAACUACGUGCCAGCAGCCGCGGUAAUACGUAGGGGGCGAGCGUUAUCCGGAUUCACUGGGUGUAAAGGGAGCGUAGACGGCCAUGCAAGCCAGGGGUGAAAGCCCGGGGCCCAACCCCGGGACUGCCCUUGGAACUGCAUGGCUGGAGUGCGGGAGGGGCAGGCGGAAUUCCUGGUGUAGCGGUGAAAUGCGUAGAUAUCAGGAGGAACACCGGCGGCGAAGGCGGCCUGCUGGACCGUGACUGACGUUGAGGCUCGAGAGCGUGGGGAGCAAACAGGAUUAGAUACCCUAGUAC